rnacentral:rRNA from 1 species
ACGCACGCUGGCGGCAGGCCUAACCCAUGCAAGUCGAGCGAGGACUUCGGUUCUAGCGGCGGACGGGUGAGUAACGCGUGGGAAUGUGCCCUUCUCUACGGAAUAGCCCUGGGAAACUGGGAGUAAUACCGUAUACGCCCUAUUGGGGAAAGAUUUAUCGGAGAAGGAUCAGCCCGCGUUGGAUUAGGUAGUUGGUGGGGUAAUGGCCUACCAAGCCGACGAUCCAUAGCUGGUUUGAGAGGAUGAUCAGCCACACUGGGACUGAGACACGGCCCAGACUCCUACGGGAGGCAGCAGUGGGGAAUCUUAGACAAUGGGGGCAACCCUGAUCUAGCCAUGCCGCGUGAGUGAUGAAGGCCUUAGGGUUGUAAAGCUCUUUCAGCUGGGAAGAUAAUGACGGUACCAGCAGAAGAAGCCCCGGCUAACUCCGUG